GUGAACGCUGGCGGUAGGCCUAACACCUGCAAGUCGAACGGCAGCACAGUAAGAGCUUGCUCUUACGGGUGGCGAGUGGCGGACGGGUGAGGAAUACAUCGGAAUCUACUUUUUCGUGGGGGAUAACGUAGGGAAACUUACGCUAAUACCGCAUACGACCUACGGGUGAAAGCCGGGGAUCUUCGGACCUUGCGCGAUUGAAUGAGCCGAUGUCGGAUUUGCUAGUUGGCGGGGUAAAGGCCCACCAAGGCGACGAUCCGUAGCUGGUCUGAGAGGAUGAUCAGCCACACUGGAACUGAGACACGGUCCAGACUCCUACGGGAGGCAGCAGUGGGGAAUAUUGGACAAUGGGCGCAAGCCUGAUCCAGCCAUACCGCGUGGGUGAAGAAGGCCUUCGGGUUGUAAAGCCCUUUUGUUGGGAAAGAAAAGCAGCAGGUUAAUACCCCGCUGUUCUGACGGUACCCAAAGAAUAAGCACCGGCUAACUUCGUG
rnacentral:rRNA from 1 species